UGGCUCAGUGGUUAAGCGCUCAGCUGCUAACUGAAAGGUUGGUGGUUCGAACCCACU
rnacentral:tRNA from 1 species